rnacentral:tRNA from 1 species
GGGGGAGUGUCGGAAUUGGCAGACGAGCAUGGCUUAGGACCAUGUGGGCUAAUACCCGUGAGGGUUCGAGUCCCUCCUUCCCCA